GACGAACGCUGGCGGCGUGCUUAACACAUGCAAGUCGAACGGAAAGGCCCUGCUUUUGUGGGGUGCUCGAGUGGCGAACGGGUGAGUAACACGUGAGUAACCUGCCCUUGACUUUGGGAUAACUUCAGGAAACUGGGGCUAAUACCGGAUAGGAGCUCCUGCUGCAUGGUGGUGGUUGGAAAGUUUCGGCGGUUGGGGAUGGACUCGCGGCUUAUCAGCUUGUUGGUGGGGUAGGGGCUUACCAAGGCUUUGACGGGUAGCCGGCCUGAGAGGGUGACCGGCCACAUUGGGACUGAGAUACGGACCAGACUCCUACGGGCGGCAGCAGUGGGGAAUAUUGCAGAAUGGGCGGAAGCCUGAUGCAGCAACGCUGCGUGCGGGAUGACGGCCUUCGGGUUGUAAACAGCUUUCGCCUGUGACGAAGCGUGAGUGACGGUAAUGGGUAAAGAAGCACCGGCUAACUACGUG
rnacentral:rRNA from 1 species